CCCAUGGGGCAGCGAUGGUGGGGCCAACAGGCACUCCCAAAGGAACUGCAGCCUGUGCAGUGCUCUUGAAGGAGAGGGGUCUUUUUCGUCCAUAUCUCCUGCCCUCAGUUCCAAAUUAAAAACUCCAUCAGAUUGCAAGGUGGGCUAUGCUGAUUGCUGUCACCUCAGCCCCUCGAUAGCAAGGAAGCAAGUUUAUGGGCAUGCACCAUGUUUCACAUCCUCUUCUGGAUGAGGUCAGACACAGAUCAAAGAAAAGGAAUGAAGACUACCUGCCUCUACCACAUAGCAUUUUCUGGUGGAUGGGAAGCAUCUUUGAAUAGGGAAUCAAAGAAUUUGCAAGGAUUGAUGAAAGAUUUUCAAAGAAAAUUAUGAAUGUUAGCUGCUGCAAAAGCAGAGAAGACUAUCUUGAAACUCAGAGAUGAUGGGACACAGCAGAUUUCUGCAUCUACACAUCUUAUGUAAAAGCUGUAAAGAACAGGAAGCUGUCAGCAAGAGGCAAGAAUCCACCAAGUGAUAAUUGAUGAAUACUCAAAAGACUGGGGUGUCCUGCAGACUGUCCCUGGCCACACGCUCACAGGAAACAAGCUGUUCUGGCCCAGGAUGUGCAGGCAGUGGAGAUGUAAAGCCCUCUGCAAGCUUAGUUUGCAGCUGCCUGUCCUUGGGAGUCUAAUCUGAGUUUUCAGUCAUGGAUUCGUAACUCCGUCCAGCCCUGCUCCUGCCUGUGGGCUGUGGCUGUGGCAUGCUGAGUGUAACCUGUCUCCUUGCCUCAGCUUACUCUGGUGGUGGCCAAGGGUGUAAGGCUGGCAUGGUGGCACUGUUCCAGUAGGUAACAUGCACAGCGGGGAGCAUGAGGCUGGGAUCCCUGGGGAGCUGUGGCUGUGGAUAUGGGUGGAUGAAGGUUUUGCAUUGUAGCUCAGAGACCCCUGAAGCCUGGCAGCUCUGGAUCAUUUUUGUCCUUCCUGUUAAAUCUGUGGGUGUCACAUGAAUUCUCUUUAGGCUUAAGAUAACUCUUAACUGAGCAUUGCUGAGAACACUGCUCUGUAACACCAGCUGGACCAGAGAAUUACUGCCCCCAGUAGUCAAAGCUGAGCAACAGCUUACAACUAUGUUGUUUUAUUUUGUUGACAGCUAGUCCCAAAGCAACUGAUACUUUUGCAACUUGGUUUCUUCAUGGAGGUAAUUAAGGGAAUGUGAGAAUUUUCAAGAAAAUUACUUCAUUUAAGGGAUAAUGUGGGAAGUUUUAUUUCCCCCAUUACAUUUCUAUUUCUUCUAUUAUGUUCCCAUCAUAAAAUAAAAAUCUUUGAAUAUACAAUUAUAAGUGAGAUCUGAAAUUAAAGAUUUAGCAUCUGUACACCCUGGAGAUGGUUGUCCUUCCUACCUAUAAAGAGCCAUAUGAAGCCCCCAGAGUUCUGUUGUAAUUUGUGUAAGAGGAAUUGUAAACAUGUCGCUGAAACUCCCCCUGCUAAAACCUCUGAAGAAUGUUGUAGAUGAGAAAACUCCCUGCCAUGUGAAGCCUUUCUAUUUUUACCAUGUCACUAGGAAGAGUCACUGUUUACUGUAUUAGCUAUAACCUAGUGACUUAUGUCCUGUGGCAAAUCCAGGACUGGAAUUGCUGGACAGGUUGUGGUGGUUCUAUUAUUAGAAACCUGUUACAUUUGACAUUGAGCAUAAAAGAUGGGGCUCGUACUGCAGAACAUUUCUUAUACUCCAGAGAGUUAAUCCCAGCAUUUAUUACCAGAAAAGAUGCUGAAGCCUCUGAGCUCUCAUUGAUUGGACUUGCAAGUUGAUCAGUCCUGUUGAGAUAUGUAAAAUCUGUUGACAAAGAAAUGAUGACUGAUAUCCUAAGAAUAAAAUCUAAUGAUAAAACCAGUAAGUCUUGCUAUUGCCAGAGCAAAUUCCUCAGAGACCAGAAUUUCACUCUCAAAGGGUAUUUUGUAUGUAGACAGGUUGUGUGUUGACUUAGUUUAUAUAAUGUGCCUGAAACAUCCAGAAAAGCUUUACCUAUAGCUGGGCUGUGUGAAGAAAUAAAUGCAUUCAGUUUUCAAUGGCCUGUCAGAAUAAAAUAUGUUAUUACUGGAUUUAACUGACUGUACAAGCAUGAUUGCAUGUUGCCACAUUUCGACAGUAUUUCAAGUGGGAUGUAGAGUUAUUUACUCUUUAGUGCUAAUACAACCAACAGUAUAAGACAGGAAGAGAAGACUGCUGAGAGGCCAUAGGCAGUAAGGAAGUCACUUGUGUGUCCUGCUGUGGCAGCAGCACAUGUAGCUACACAAAGAUACAUGAGCCUCAGGCAGGGCACCAGUGUGGCACUGACACAGGGAGCAGUGUGCUGUGUGCAGCCUCACUGGCUGCUGCACCUUGGUUCUUCUCAGAGAGUCUCCACACACAUUCAAGGCAGUUGUCAGUGUUCCGCUUGCAUAGAAAGAGUCAGAUCUCAAGAAAUUUGGCUUCAGGCUUGAAAUUUGUAAAGGGAAACAGAGGAGAUAGUGAAGUUGGGUCAGAAAAUGGGAAGAAAUAAAUGAAAGGAAGAAAGUUGUAAAGAGAGUUGGAAACACUUUGAUGAGAUGCUACAUCUGCAUCCAUACAAUAAGGCUGCUAACUCUCAUAGCUUGUGCCAACAUGAGAUGUAGGGAUCACUGGGCAGCUUGCACAGGAAGUCAUAAUACUGUAAAAUUUUUUUAUGUGCUGGUGUUAAAUAAGAAAGGAGUGGACCAGGUUUGCUUGUAUCCCAACUUUGACAAGGGCUGUGGAGAUCAUCUAACAGCCUCAGACAGCAGCUCUGGAUUGUGGCUGUGCCCAGAAGAGACUUAUUUGAAAGAUGAACAGUGGACAGGAGAGCACAGCUGUCUCAAGGGCGCUGUAUGAUCUUUGGCAUAGGUUGGGAGUGAAGUGUCACUGGCCAAAAUGAAUGGGAGUUCCCCAGGAGAGCUGGGCAUGGCAAGCCAGGAGCUGAUGUCUGUGUCUGUCACUGAGACUAUGAGUGUCAGCUCUGCCCUACAAACAGCAUAGCCAGCCCAACAGCUCCUGCAGUAAACUAGCACGCAGGGGUUGAAUCAUAGCACUGUUACAGUACUCCAGUUAACACUGCAAUGUUAGAGCCAAGAAGGGGACUGCAGCAUUUCAAAAAGUACAUUUUAAUGCCUAAGGUGUUGAAAACUGUAGCAUGAAAUACAUGUGCGUUGUUUGACAUCAACUGGGAAUAUGGUGUUCUGUGAACACGGGUCAGUCUGAAACCUGAGUAACAGAGAAAGAGAGUUGUUGCCAUCCAGUAGGCAACAUGCUGGCUGUGGCAGGGUGGUCAUGGCAUUGUGCCAGCCAGGUGUGUUGCCUCAUGGCUAACUUGGGCUUUACCAGGGCUCAUCCAUCUCACUGGGUCUGGGCCAGGAAGGAGCCAUUUCUGAACUGAUGACUUUCAACUGCUCAACUUUGAAAGGUGCAAUCCUGCAUAGGAAGAUACUUUCAGAUUUUCUUUUUUACUGCUUGCCUGUUUUGUUUCUUUGCUUGCUUGUCACGCUGGUUUUAAACUACUAUACAAGUCUAAUAGGUAUGUUAAUCUGCAUCUGCUGUGGUAUGCAUGUGAUAAAGGAAACAGAUCAAAUGAACUUAUUUUAGUCAAUAUGUUUAAAUAAAA